rnacentral:misc_RNA from 1 species
UAAUAAGGUGUUUUAUGGCACUUUUUAAAUCCAUAUCCACCUUGGUGUGGCAAUGUCGGGUCGAUCUUCUUUUUUUGAGGAUCGACCAAACAUCAACCUUUAUUUUUUUAACUCUUUGUACUGAAAAAUAUUAUGAAUAAACAAUUCAAAAUAC